rnacentral:rRNA from 1 species
AACGAACGCUGGCGGCAGGCCUAACACAUGCAAGUCGAGCGAGGACUUCGGUCCUAGCGGCGGACGGGUGAGUAACGCGUGGGAACGUGCCCUUUGCUUCGGAAUAGCCCUGGGAAACUGGGAGUAAUACCGGAUGAGCCCUUUGGGGGAAAGAUUUAUCGGCGAAGGAUCGGCCCGCGUUGGAUUAGGUAGUUGGUGGGGUAAUGGCCUACCAAGCCGACGAUCCAUAGCUGGUUUGAGAGGGUGAUCAGCCACACUGGGACUGAGACACGGCCCAGACACCAAGGGGAGGGGGGGGGGGGGAUUAUGAAAAAAUGGGGGAAGACCGAAUGAGGCCAUGGGGUGGGGAAGAUGAAGGGCUUGGGGUGGAAAAGCGCUUCGAGGGGGGAAGAGAAGGAGGGAACCAGCAAAAAAAGCCCGGCUAAAUCCCGG